UGUGAGGGGCAUGUGAGGGCUGUCGCUGACUCAAAGUCGUGCACGCCCGAGUGUGUCCUCUCACAUAAUAAUCCAUCUCACCCUUUGUGCAUCGCCGCGUGGGCACCCUUUGGGAUCAUCUCGGAGGGGGCUCGCGUUUUCACACAAACCCCCCUUUUAAAAGUGUAGAAUGACCUCAUUUAUGCGCUAACACGCAAUCAAUACAACUUUCAACAACGGAUCUCUUGGCUCUCGCAUCGAUGAAGAACGCAGCGAAAUGCGAUACGUAAUGUGAAUUGCAGAAUUCAGUGAAUCAUCGAAUCUUUGAACGCACCUUGCGCCCCUUGGUAUUCCGAGGGGCACACCCGUUUGAGUGUCGUGAAAACCUCAACCUCCUUGGUUUCUUCUGGAGACCAAAGGCAGGCUUGGACUUUGGAGGCCUUUGCUGGAACCUCUCUCUUUUGAAGGCCAGCUCCUCUUAAACGAAUUAGCAGGGUCCUCUUUGCCGAUCCUCGACGUGUGAUAAGAUGUUUCCAUGUCUUGGUUUCUGGCUCUGUCACUUUUGGGACCCGCUUCUAACCGUCUUGACCUUGCAUCGAGACAAUGUUCGAGCAUGUCUCCCUUCUCGGGAAGCUCCCUCGACCCCACGAACCCUUGACCUCAAAUCGGGUGAGACUACCCGCUGAACUUAAGCAUAUCAAUA
rnacentral:rRNA from 1 species